GACCAAUGCGGGCCUCUCCCCAACGGGUGAAUGCGAUUCCAUAAAGGUGCCAGCCAUUCAACAAGCAAAACAUAUUAUUUUUUAUCACUGUUUAUCAUUGUGACUAAUGUAUUGUAUUUUAAAACACAGCACAUCAUUUGAAACAGGAAGACGUGAUGUAAUGAUUCAUUGUGAAAAGUGGAGAGAAGGGAUUCAGAGCCUCAGAGGGAUCAAAGAGAUUUAUGCCCUUGUAGAGUUGGUGCUCACUUUUCUACGCCCGCCACCCCAGCAUGCAUUGCGAUUCCACCGGAAGCCCGAAACUCCGAUUCCAUAUUUAAGUAUUAACCUUUAUCCUAUUCUUUUUCACUUUAUAUUGCGUUUUAUUUGAUUUGAUUUUUUUCCAAGUUUGUUUUAUUAUUUUUUAUUUAGUUUCAUGUCAUUAGAGUCCUGAUCCACAACCAAAGGU
ensembl:lncRNA